rnacentral:lncRNA from 1 species
AAUUCGCCGAAACCUUUACCGUUACGAGUGAACCCGGUUUUCAAUGAUUCGACUGAUUUCGAUCUGAAGCAAAAACAAACCAAGUAGAUUAAUAAAAAUUAGAUCUUUAAAAGAAAAUCUAAGUCCGAAAUCAAACAAAUCCAAUAAUUGAAUACAUUCGCAUAAACAUAGCAUUUUCACAUCGGAAAGAAAUGUUAAACCUGAAGAUCUAGGGGAAGAAGAUAGCAUGUGACAAGCUAGAGAAAAGGACGGGGAGUGGGUGGGUUUAUAGAUCAGAAUUUGGUGAAGAUUUCACAGAGAUCGGACAAUUAUUCAAUGGGGAAGAAGGUCAUUUAGAUGUAGGUGUAAAUAUUUUAGUUUGCCUGUGAAAAUAGAGAUUUUCUUAAUCUCCACCUUGUUUUAUUAUUUAUUUAUUUUC